UACGUAGGGUGCGAGCGUUAUUCGGAAUUACUGGGCGUAAAGCGUGCGCAGGCGGUUUUGUAAGCCAGAUGUGAAAUCCCCGGGCUUAACCUGGGAAUGGCAUUUGGGACUGCAAGCCUCGAGUGCGGCAGAGGAGACUGGAAUUCCUGGUGUAGCAGUGAAAUGCGUAGAUAUCAGGAGGAACACCGAUGGCGAAGGCAGGUCUCUGGGCUGACACUGACGCUCAGGCACGAAAGCGUGGGGAGCAAACAGG
rnacentral:rRNA from 1 species